rnacentral:rRNA from 1 species
CCUACGGGUGGCAGCAGUGGGGAAUAUUGGACAAUGGGGGGAACCCUGAUCCAGCCAUGCCGCGUGUGUGAAGAAGGCCCUCGGGUUGUAAAGCACUUUCAGUGAGGAAGAACGCCUGGUGGUUAAUACCCAUCAGGAAAGACAUCACUCACAGAAGAAGCACCGGCUAACUCCGUGCCAGCAGCCGCGGUAAUACGGAGGGUGCGAGCGUUAAUCGGAAUUACUGGGCGUAAAGCGCGCGUAGGUGGCUUGAUAAGCCGGUUGUGAAAGCCCCGGGCUCAACCUGGGAACGACAUCCGGAACUGUCAAGCUAGAGUGCAGGAGAGGAAGGUAGAAUUCCCGGUGUAGCGGUGAAAUGCGUAGAGAUCGGGAGGAAUACCAGUGGCGAAGGCGGCCUUCUGGACUGACACUGACACUGAGGUGCGAAAGCGUGGGUAGCAAACAGGAUUAGAUACCCUGGUAGUC